UACGGAGGGUGCAAGCGUUGUUCGGAAUUAUUGGGCGUAAAGCGCGUGUAGGCGGCUUGAUAAGUCUGGUGUGAAAGCCCGGGGCUUAACCCCGGAAGUGCACUGGAUACUAUCUAGCUAGAGGGUCGGAGAGGGAAGCGGAAUUCUUGGUGUAGGGGUGAAAUCCGUAGAUAUCAAGAGGAACACCGAUGGCGAAGGCAGCUUCCUGGCCGACAUCUGACGCUGAGACGCGAAAGCGUGGGUAGCAAACAGG
rnacentral:rRNA from 1 species